AGCAGCCGCGGUAACUCCAGCUCCAAUAGCGUAUAUUAAAGUUGUUGCAGUUAAAAAGCUCGUAGUUGAAUUUCGAGAUCAAAUUGUUGGUCGUGCCUUGGUACGUACUGGCAUUAUUGGUUUCUCCCUUCUGACGAACCAAGAUGUCAUUAAUUUGGUGUCUUGGGGAAUCAGGACUGUUACCUUGAAAAAUUAGAGUGUUUAAAGCAGGCUCGCGCUUGAAUACAUUAGCAUGGAAUAAUGAAAUAGGACGUUUGAUUCUAUUUUGUGGUUUCUAGGAUCGACGUAAUGAUUAAUAGGGAUAGUUGGGGCACUAGUAUUCAAUUGUCAGAGGUGAAAUUCUUGGAUUUAUUGAAGACUAACUACUGCGAAAGCAUUUGCCAAGGAUGUUUUCAUUAAUACAAGACGAAAGUUAGGGGAUCGAAGACGAUCAGAUACCGUCGUAGUCUUAACCAUAAACUAUAGCCGACUAGGGAUCGGAUGAUGUUAA
rnacentral:rRNA from 1 species